GAGGCGGGCGGUGGGCCUGGCGGCGGAGCGGUGGAGGCGGUCGUACUCGAGCAUCAUGUGGUCGAGGUCCUCGUCGUUGGUGACGGAGAUGAGGGCGUCGAGGUCCUCGCCGGGAAGCUGGUACUUGAAGCAGAGGUGGUCGUCGAGGGGGGCGGCGGAGCCGCGGCGACCGUGUCUAGGGGCGGGGGGACGGGGACGGAGUUGAGGGCAUCGACGAACCACUGGCGGUCGGGCUUGGGGUCGAGAAGAGCGGCGGAGGGGGUCGGUGGUUUGAUGGAGAAGAGGAAGACGCGGAGGCGGGCGGUGGGCCUGGCGGCGGAGCGGUGGAGGCGGUCGUACUCGAGCAUCAUGUGGUCGAGGUCCUCGUCGUUGGUGACGGAGAUGAGGGCGUCGAGGUCCUCGCCGGGAAGCUGGUACUUGAAGCAGAGGUGGUCGUCGAUGUUGGAGAGGGACGCGAGCUUGGAAAGGAGGGCGGGGAAGCCGAUGGAGCGGUCGAUGGUGAGGAUCUUGGUCUCGCCGCCGACGUAGGAGAGCUGGUUGUCGUGGGGGCGAGGCUGGAUACGGCCGCCGUAGCUGAUCAUCAGCUUGACGCGGGCGGCGGCGGCGGCAGUGGCAGGAG
rnacentral:lncRNA from 1 species